GUUACGGACCGGGCCCCUCUGGCACAUGACGUUGCGAUGUCGGACCGUAUCG
rfam:Methylobrevis pamukkalensis strain PK2 A6302_contig000045, whole genome shotgun sequence.